GUCGUCAUGAAAAAAAACAUAAAGGGUAACACUGUUGUCUUUGACAAAUACAAUAUAAAGGGUAACACUUGUUUUUUAUUGGUCAUCAUGAAAAAAUAAUAGAAAUACACACAUACAUUUUAAUGCAAUUUAUAUCCUCUUUAUCGAUGAUUUAUUAUUGCGUAAUGUCAUCGCCUCAGUGGUGCAGUGGAGUGCACUCUGCCUAACCCACUGGAGACCGCGGCUCAAUUUCUGUGGAAAACACAAUAUCUUUAAUUUUAAACGCAAUGCUAUCAUGUCUAUUGUCAUAUAUAACCUCAGACAUAAUUAAAUUGCAAAUCUCAGUGGGAAGUGGACAGAGCUUUGAGCUUUCCUUCUGGAGACCGGGGUUCAAGUCUGGUUGAUGUCUUCUGUUGGUAGACUCUUAUCUCUAUUUCAUGCGAAUUAUAAAGUCAAGUAUAACCUUUGUGAUGUCGUUAUCCGGUGUCUUGAUGGUGCAUUGAUAAGUUCGGAGGUUAACACUACAAACAGCUCAGGUUCGGAUCCACGCAAAAACGUCGACAGGGGUACCACUGUCGUUAUUUAUUGGUCAACAUGGAAAAAACAUGAGGGGUAACUGUCGGUUUUUAUUGGCCGUCAUGAAAUAAACAUAAGGGGUAACACUGUCGAUAUUUAUUAAAUAAAACAUAGGGGGUAACACUGUUGUUUUUCUUUGGUCGUCAUGAAAAAAAAACAUAAGGGGUAACACUGUCGUUUUUAUCAAAUGAAACAUAAGGGGUAACACUGUUGUUUUUUUAUUGGUCGUCAUGAAUAAAAACAUAAGGGGUAAUACUCUUGUUUUUUAUUGGUCGUCAUGAAAAAAAACAUAAGGGGUAACACUGUUGUCUUUGUCAAAUAAAAUAAAAGGGGUAACACUGUCGUAUUUUAUUGGUCGUAAUGAAAAAAAACAUUUAAAAAAAUAAAAAUUGUCCUUCUCAAAUAAAAUAUAAGGGGUAUAACUGUUGUUCUUCAUCAGUCAUCAUGGGAAAAAAACAUAAAGGGUAACACUGUCGAUAUUUAUCAAAUGAAACAUGAGGGGUAACACUGUCGUUUUUAUCAAAUGAAACAUAAGGGGUGACACUGUCGUUUUUUAUCGGCCGUCAUGAAAAAAACAUAAAGGGUAACACUGUUGAUAUUUAUCCAUUAAAACAUAGGGGGUAACACUGUCGUUUUCAUCAAAUGAAACAUGAGGGGUGACCCUGUUGUAUUUUAUUGGUCGUCAUGAAAAAAAACAUAAGGGGUAACACUGUCGAUAUUUAUCCAUUAAAACAUAGGGGGAAACACUGUCGUUUUUAUCAAAUGAAACAUGAGGGGUGACACUGUCGUUUUUCUUUGGUCGUCAUGAAAAAUAAAAUAAACUGUUGUUUUUUAUUGGGUCAUAACACUGUUGUUUUUAUUGGUCGUCAUGAAAAAAAACAUAAGGGGUAACACUGUUGUCUUUGUCAAAUAAAAUAUAAGGGGUAACACUGUCGUAUUUUAUAGGUCGUAAUGAAAAAAAACAUAAAAAAAGAAGAAAAUUGUCCUUCUCAAAUAAAAUAUAAGGGGUAUCACUGUUGUUUUUCAUCAGUCAUCAUGGGAAAAAAACAUAAGGGGUAACACUGUCGAAAUUAUCAAAUAAAACAUAGGGGGUAACACUGUUGUUUUUCUUUGGUCGUCAUGACGAAAAACAUAACACUGUUGUUUUUUAUUGGUCUUCAUGAAAAAAAACAUAAGGGGUAACACUGUUGUUUUUUAUUGGUCGUCAUGAAAAAAAACACAAGGGAUAACACUGUCGUUUUUUAUUGGUCGUCAUGAAAAAAAACAUAUAAAGGGUAACACUGUUGUUUUUUAUUGGUCGUCAUGAAAAAAAACAUAAGGGGUAACACUGUUGUUUUUUAUUGGUCGUCAUGAAAAAAAACAUAAGGGAUAACACUGUCGUUUUUUAUUGGUCGUCAUGAAAAAUAACAUAAAGGGGUAACACUGUUGUUUUUUAUUGGUCGUCAUGAAAAAAAACAUAAGGGGUAACACUGUUGUUUUUUAUUGGUCGUCAUGAAAAAAAACAUAAGGGUUACUUAUGUUUUUGUUUUUUAUUAGUCGUCAUGAAAAAAAACAUAAGGGGUAACACUGUUGUUUUUUAUUGGUCGUCAUGAAAAAAAACAUAAGGGUUACUUAUGUUUUUGUUUUUUAUUGGUCGUCAUGAAAAAAAACAUAAUGGGUAACACUGUCGAUAUUUAUCAAUUAAAACAUAGGGGGUAACACCGUCGUUUUUAUCAAAUGAAACAUGAGGGGUGACACUGUCGUAUAUUACAGUUUUUGUUUUUAGUCUGUUGGCUGCAAAACAUUCUGAGUUAGCAUUAGGGCUGUCAACGAAUAUUCGAAGUUCGAAUAUUCGUUCGAAAUGUAUCCAAAAACGCGAAUUCGAACGUGAAAAUUAAUAUUCGAAUGUGAAAAAAC
ensembl:lncRNA